rnacentral:rRNA from 1 species
GAUGAACGCUGGCGGCGUGCCUAAUACAUGCCAGUCGAGCGAACAGACGAGGAGCUUGCUCCUCUGACGUUAGCGGCGGACGGGUGAGUAACACGUGGAUAACCUACCUAUAAGACUGGGAUAACUUCGGGAAACCGGAGCUAAUACCGGAUAACAUGUUGAACCGCAUGGUUCAACAGUGAAAGACGGUUUUGCUGUCACUUAUAGAUGGAUCCGCGUCGCAUUAGCUAGUUGGUAAGGUAACGGCUUACCAAGGCAACGAUGCGUAGCCGACCUGAGAGGGUGAUCGGCCACACUGGAGCUGAGCCACGGUCCAGGCUCCUACGGGAGGCAGCAGUAGGGAAUCUUCCGCAAUGGGCGAAAGCCUGACGGAGCAACGCCGCGUGAGUGAAGAAGGUCUUCGGAUCGUAAAACUCUGUUAUUAGGGAAGAACAAAUGUGUAAGUAACUAUGCACGUCUUGACGGUACCUAAUCAGAAAGCCACGGCUAACUACGUG